AAAGUCGUAACAAGGUUUCCGUAGGUGAACCUGCGGAAGGAUCAUUACCGAGUUCAUGCCCUUCGGGGUAGAUCUCCCACCCUUUGUUUACUAUACGAUGUUGCUUUGGCGGACCGCCUGAUCGCCCUCCGGGGCCCUCAGCUACCGGCUUCGGCUGGUACGCGUCCGCCAGAGAACCCAAAACCCUGAAUAUUAGUGUCGUCUGAGUAGAAAGUUUAAUAUUUAAAACUUUCAACAACGGAUCUCUUGGCUCUG
rnacentral:misc_RNA from 1 species